CAGCCGCCGCGGUAAUACGUAGGUGGCAAGCGUUGUCCGGAAUUAUUGGGCGUAAAGGGCUCGCAGGCGGUUUCUUAAGUCUGAUGUGAAAACCCCCGGCUCAACCGGGGAGGGUCAUUGGAAACUGGGAAACUUGAGUGCAGAAGAGGAGAGUGGAAUUCCACGUGUAGCGGUGAAAUGCGUAGAGAUGUGGAGGAACACCAGUGGCGAAGGCGACUCUCUGGUCUGUAACUGACGCUGAGGAGCGAAAGCGUGGGGAGCGAACGGGAUUAGAUACCCGUGUAGUCCCUGUCUCUUAUAA
rnacentral:rRNA from 1 species